rnacentral:lncRNA from 1 species
GCUCAGCCACAGCUCACCCUUCCGGACCUAUGGUGCCAACCGCUGCUCCAGGGAUCCUCCUGGUGCCACCAAAACCACUCAGUGCCACCAAAACCUCUCAGUGCCACCAACACAGUUGAGCACCCCCUGUGCCGGGGUGGUGUGUCACCAGUGUGCCCGUGGGGACACCUUCCCGGUGAGCUCAGCACUGGCUCACCCUUCUGGACCUACAGUGCCAACUGCUGUUCCAGGGAUCCUCCUGGUGCCACCAAAACCACUCAGUGCCACCAAAACCUCUCAGUGCCACCAACACAGUUGAGCACCCCCUGUGCCGGGGUGGUGUGUCACCAGUGUGCCCGUGGGGACACCUUCCCGGUGAGCUCAGCACUGGCUCACCCUUCUGGACCUACAGUGCCAACUGCUGUUCCAGGGAUCCUCCUGGUGCCACCAAAACCGCUCGGUGCCACCAACACGGUUGGGCACCCCCCGUGCCAGGACUGUGCGUCACUGGUGCACUUGCGGGGACACCUUCCCGGUGAGCUCAGCACCGGCUCACCCUUCCGGACCUACGGUGCCACCCGUUUGUCACCGGUGUGCCCAUGGGGACACCUUCCCGGUGAGCUCAGCACCGGCUCACCCUUCCGGACCUACGGUGCCAACCACUGCUCCAGGGAUCCUCCUGGUGCCACCAAAACCACUCGGUGCCACCCAAACCACUCGGUGCCACCAACGCCAUUGGAUACCCCCUGUGCCAGGACCCAGGACCGUGCGUCACUGGUGCACCUGCAGGGACACCCUCCUGGUGAGCUCAGCCACAGCUCACCCUUCCGGACCUAUGGUGCCAACCGCUGCUCCAGGGAUCCUCCUGGUGCCACCAAAACCACUCAGUGCCACCAAAACCUCUCAGUGCCACCAACACAGUUGAGCACCCCCUGUGCCGGGGUGGUGUGUCACCAGUGUGCCCGUGGGGACACCUUCCCGGUGAGCUCAGCACCGGCUCACCCUUCCGGACCUACGGUGCCAACCACUGCUCCAGGGAUCCUCCUGGUGCCACCAAAACCACUCGGUGCCACAAAAACCACUCGGUGCCACCCAAACCUCUCGGUGCCACCAACACGGUUGAGCACCCCCUGUGCCAGGACCGUGCGUCACCGGUGCACCCACGGGGACACCUUCCCGGUGAGCUCAGCACUGGCUCACCCUUCUGGACCUACAGUGCCAACUGCUGUUCCAGGGAUCCUCCUGGUGCCACCAAAACCACUCAGUGCCACCCAAACCUCUCAGUGCCACCAACACGGUUGA